rnacentral:rRNA from 1 species
UACAGAGGUCUCAAGCGUUGUUCGGAUUCAUUGGGCGUAAAGCGCGCGCAGGCGGCUCUUUAAGUCUGGUGUUUAAGUGCGGGGCUCAACCCCGUGACGCACUGGAAACUGGGGAGCUUGAGUGCAGAAGAGGAGAGCGGAAUUCCACGUGUAGCGGUGAAAUGCGUAGAGAUGUGGAGGAACACCAGUGGCGAAGGCGGCUCUCUGGACUGUAACUGACGCUGAGGCGCGAAAGCGUGGGGAGCAAACAGG